rnacentral:tmRNA from 1 species
GGGGUUGUACUGGUUUCGACGGGGGUUUUGCAAUCGAGGCAGCCAUCUGUGGGCCGGGACCACAUAGUAAACCGGAAUUAAAUAUAAACGCAGACGAAAAUUUAGCGUACGCAGCCUAAUGGCUGCUGUCGGCCCUGAGCAACCCGCUGCUUAGGAUCCCGGCAUCAAACUUGCGGGGCACUUUGUCUGUGAAGCUUUGAACAGAUAAAAGAAUUGAUGAAGCUACUGAAGUGACAAGCCUGUCUCUGGGCGUGCCAUGGAGGGAAUGUUAAAACAGUGACUGUGAUGGGAGAUACCACGAUGAAUAGGCUUUCGGACAGGGGUUCGAUUCCCCUCAGCUCCAUUU